CAGAUAUAACCACCAGAAUCGGUCAACUGCAGAAUAGAUUGAGAAAUGUGGAGCGGGGAGCCUGUCUUGAGUUAGAGGGAAUGGAGCAAAAGUUCAAGGAGCAUGCAAGUGGAAUUGGACGAAUGAAGGAGCAUUUUCACAAAGAAAUUUGCCGCCUUGGAAAGCUACUUGAUGAAAAAGAAUCGCUAAUCAAUACACUAGUAGCGGAAAAACAUAAACUGGAGGAAGAGAAACGGUAGCUUACAUCGUGCAUUAUACUCCAAUUUAAACAUCAUGCCAUAAUGUUCAAUUCAAAGAGGAUACCAAGGAGAAAUUAUCGCCACUGCAUUUCGAUAUUGAUGUUGAUGCUGCACCUCAACAUGCAAUCCCAAACAAUCAUUACGAUCGAAAAGAAGAGCUAUAACUCAAAGUUUUACACUGAAGUGUAGUUUUCAUUAGUUCUGAAUCAUCAAAUUUUAUUGAUCACUAGCCCAAUAUUAUUAAUCAUCAACAAUUCGAAUGAUAGCAAUCAUGUACGUUAUAACUUCAACUUCAUUGUCUUUCUCAUUGUCAUUGUUCUUCAUUAUCUUUUGGUGAAACCUGUUAACAUAAGAAAUUUUGAGUUUGACAUGAACAUCAACAAAACCACUGUUUACAACAGGAAUCGCUCUAUUGACCAUAUUUUUAAAGCCUCAACGCACUUGAAUUUCACUUGUCACAAAAUAAAUACUUUAUUAA